AGUCGACGCUUCUUUUUCCACCGGAGCUUGCUCCACCGGAAAAAGAGGAGUGGCGAACGGGUGAGUAACACGUGGGUAACCUGCCCAUCAGAAGGGGAUAACACUUGGAAACAGGUGCUAAUACCGUAUAACAAUCGAAACCGCAUGGUUUUGAUUUGAAAGGCGCUUUCGGGUGUCGCUGAUGGAUGGACCCGCGGUGCAUUAGCUAGUUGGUGAGGUAACGGCUCACCAAGGCGACGAUGCAUAGCCGACCUGAGAGGGUGAUCGGCCACAUUGGGACUGAGACACGGCCCAAACUCCUACGGGAGGCAGCAGUAGGGAAUCUUCGGCAAUGGACGAAAGUCUGACCGAGCAACGCCGCGUGAGUGAAGAAGGUUUUCGGAUCGUAAAACUCUGUUGUUAGAGAAGAACAAGGAUGAGAGUAACUGUUCAUCCCUUGACGGUAUCUAACCAGAAAGCCACGGCUAACUACGUGCCAGCAGCCGCGGUAAUACGUAGGUGGCAAGCGUUGUCCGGAUUUAUUGGGCGUAAAGCGAGCGCAGGCGGUUUCUUAAGUCUGAUGUGAAAGCCCCCGGCUCAACCGGGGAGGGUCAUUGGAAACUGGGAGACUUGAGUGCAGAAGAGGAGAGUGGAAUUCCAUGUGUAGCGGUGAAAUGCGUAGAUAUAUGGAGGAACACCAGUGGCGAAGGCGGCUCUCUGGUCUGUAACUGACGCUGAGGCUCGAAAGCGUGGGGAGCAAACAGGAUUAGAUACCCUGGUAGUCCACGCCGUAAACGAUGAGUGCUAAGUGUUGGAGGGUUUCCGCCCUUCAGUGCUGCAGCUAACGCAUUAAGCACUCCGCCUGGGGGAGUACGACCGCAAGGUUGAAACUCAAGGA
rnacentral:rRNA from 1 species